AGUACGGAGGAGGAUUCAGUCGGAUAAGUAACUCGUCGCCAAGAAACGAGAGGAGCAUCGUUACAGAGGUCCACUGCACCUGCUGCAACUUGCUGCCACGCGGCACAAACAUCCUCCUCAAUGUCCAGCGGUUUAACAAUGGAUUACACUUUCCUGCCUCGGUCCAUGUGGACCGCUGACAGUAAAUUCCUGCAGCAUCCAGUGGAUCUGUACACCAGUGUGGUCGUUACGCGCAGCAUCCCUGCAGGCACGUGCUUUGGUCCAUGCCUGCUUCAAAACACUUUCUACGACACGAUCGCCUUCAUAGCGCAGAAAUCCUGCGACAAGAGAGCCAAAUCCUAUGUGUUCAGGGUGGAUCCAGAGGCCAUGCGUAAUUCUGCACUGGUGCUGUCUUGGCUGCGGCUCGUGCAGGCUGCGCGUAAUGGAGAGGAGCAGAACACAGAGGCCUUUCUGAAAGCGGGUCAGCUGUAUGUGAGGACCAUCCGGGACAUUCAGCAGGAAGAAGAGCUGCUGGUGUGGUACGACCAGGAGCUGUCUCACCUGCUGGGCUUCACAGACAUGAGCAGAGGAUCAAGUGAAGAGUUCAGAUGUGGUAGAUGUAACCAGGUCUUUAAGAAUGAGAAUCCCUUCCUGGCUCACUGCCGAUUCCUGUGUACCCAAGUAAAGACUGACACCUGGAGCCGCGAGAUUUACGAGCACAAGCUUGUGGAAAUUAAGAGGCAACCACACCGAGUGACAGAUUUCCACAACAUCGCCAGAGACUUGGAACACAAAAAAUCCAGCAGCAACGAGGACACAGAAAUCUCCCCAAAGAGAAGGAAAUACGAGGAAACCCUUUAUCCCAAAGUGCGCAAAACGGUUCUGUUGGAAAAAACUAAUAUUUCAAACGAUGACAAUAUCACACCGCUGAUUAAAGGCUACGAGCAGGCAGCAGGUGAUGCGUCCUCCUCUACAGGAAAGCUGAAAGCUGAUAAGCUAAAACCGGAUCACUUGGGAUGUAAGAAUGAUGCUUUUACGCACGGCAGAGAGAUAGACGCACGGUUGGAGACAGGUGAGAGCUCUGGUGUGCACUCGAGCAGCAGCAGUGCUUUUUCUCUAGUCCUAUCCAGCAGUCAGGGAGAGCAGAAAAGCGCUUUCUGUAAACCGAGUAAAAGAACUUCCCCUGUUGACCCCGAGGCGCUUCUCAGCAGCGCUCCAACAGCCCCCUCUAGCCGCCCAGAGGAGAUGACUGAUGCCUUCACCUCCAGGACUGUUAUGGGAUACAACAAUCUGAUGGCAUCCAACAUCCUGAGCGGUGACCUGCAGACUGUACCCUCCCCAGUUGCAUUAAAUAACACUUUCCAUUACGCACCGGAACACUGGUCCAGGAACAUUGGCGUCCAGCUGCAGACCACAUCUUCCCUCUCGGUCCUUCCGCCGACUUUCACCUCCUUUGGCGUGUCCGUGCAGAACUGGUGCGCCAAAUGUAACCUGUCCUUCCGCAUGACCUCUGACCUCGUUUUCCACAUGCGCUCUCACCACAAGAAGGAGUUCGCGGCGGAGUCUCACGUGAGGAGGAGGAGGGAGGAGAAACUCACCUGUCCGAUUUGUCACGAAUACUUCCGGGAGCGGCACCACCUGUCCAGACACAUGACCUCCCACAACUGAGCCAACAGGAAGAGACUCAAAUAAACUUUAAUUUAUUCUUAAAUGAUGCUCGUAUUUAACAGGUUUAGCCUCCAGAUUCACGGAGAGACUUUGGUGUAAAACAAUGAAUGUAGGUAGCUGUAAAGAAAAUAGCAAAACGGACACACGUGGCCGUCACAGGCUAUCCGCUAGAUGACGAUAGAGGCAGAUGCCAGACAAUGUGUCUCUUCAAGUCUGCUGCCGCAGGACAGAAGAGAUGGAAGUGAUUUCUCUACAGCCUAUGAUCCUCAAGGAAUAACGACGGCCAAAGUGACUUUGUUUCUCAGUGUCAAGAAACCACUUAACAAACAGAGGAGCAGGACUGGACUGACAUGUUGGGGUAAAUUUUGAGCACUGGGUUACUGGAUUCAUCCUGGUAGAGCACAGCCAGAGGACUCAUCUUUUCUGGGACACAGCAGGGCUCAGGAACUCCAGGGAUGAUCCCAACGGCACGGACUAUGCUCUGGAUGGUGGCGUGGUUAGAUGGCCUCGCCACCUGGGAGAUAUGAAUGAUAAGGAGAGGUAUGCAAAGGAGAAAAUCAACGAAGGGUAAAAGAACACAUUAAUACUACUCAAUAUAUAUCUUGAUAAUGCCAUUUUGGAACCAAAUGAGAGUCGGGUUGUCAAGAAAUUUGAUAUAUUAGAAUAUAUAUGUAAAAAAACAAAACAGAUUUUAUUAUUAAAGUCAGUGUCCUAUUGUAGCAAAUAAAAAGCAGCACUGAUUGGCAACCUUUGGGACUGAAAAGUGAUGAAAUGCAGAAAUGCCUUAAACCUGCAUUAUUUCUCAUGGCCAGCAGGGGGCAACUCCACUGGUUACAAAAAGAAGUCUGAUUGUGUGGGCAAGUCUAUGAGAAAAUGACCAGACUU